rnacentral:rRNA from 1 species
CUACGGGGGGCUGCAGUGGGGAAUAUUGCACAAUGGGGGAAACCCUGAUGCAGCAACGCCGCGUGGAGGAUGACACAUUUCGGUGCGUAAACUCCUUUUAUAGGUCAAGAUAAUGACGGUAGCCUAUGAAUAAGCGCCGGCUAACUCCGUGCCAGCAGCCGCGGUAAUACGGAGGGCGCAAGCGUUACUCGGAAUCACUGGGCGUAAAGAGCAUGUAGGCGGGUUGUUAAGUUGGAAGUGAAAUCCUAUGGCUUAACCAUAGAACUGCUUCCAAAACUGAUAAUCUAGAGUAUGGGAGAGGUAGAUGGAAUUUCUGGUGUAGGGGUAAAAUCCGUAGAGAUCAGAAGGAAUACCGAUUGCGAAGGCGAUCUACUGGAACAUUACUGACGCUCAGAUGCGAAAGCGUGGGGAGCAAACAGGAUUAGAUACCCGGGUAGUC